UCCGUAGGCGGGCGUCUAAGUCAGUGGUGAAAUCUUACAGCUCAACUGUAAAAUUGCCAUUGAUACUGGACGUCUUGAAUUAGUGUGAAGUGGUUAGAAUGUGUAGUGUAGCGGUGAAAUGCAUAGAUAUUACACAGAAUACCAAUUGCGAAGGCAGAUCACUAACACUAUAUUGACGCUGAGGGACGAAAGCGUGGGGAGCGAACAGGAUUAGAUACCCUGGUAGUCC
rnacentral:rRNA from 1 species